GCGCUCGGUGGCGGCCUCGAUCACGAGGUCGCUCCUGGCGAUGUCGGUGAGGGUCUGGGUGGUGCGGAUCCGCCCGAGCGCC
rnacentral:tRNA from 1 species